rnacentral:rRNA from 1 species
AACGAACGCUGGCGGCAUGCCUAACACAUGCCAGUCGAACGAGACCUUCGGGUCUAGUGGCGCACGUGUGCGUAACGCGUGGGAACCUGCCCUUAGGUUCGGAAUAACUCCCCGAAAGGGGUGCUAAUACCGUAUAAUUUCUUCGGACCAAAGAUUUAUCGCCUUUGGAUGGGCCCGCGUUGGAUUAGCUAGUUGGUAGGGUAAAAGCCUACCAAGGCGACGAUCCAUAGCUGGUCUGAGAGGAUGAUCAGCCACACUGGGACUGAGACACGGCCCAGAAUACUACGGGAGGCAGAAGUGGGGAAUAUUGGACAAUGGGCGAAAGACUGAUCCAGCAAUGCCGCGUGAAUGAUGAAGGCCUUAGGGUUGUAAAGCUAUUUUAACCGGGAUGAUAAUGACAGUACAGGGAGAAUAAGCUCCGGCUAACUCCGUG